AUUGAACGCUAGCGGGAUGCUUUACUCAUGCAAGUCGAACGAGUGGCGGACGGGUGAGUAAUAUAACGGAACGUGCCCAGUAGCGGGGGAUAACUACUCGAAAGAGUGGCUAAUACCGCAUAAUAUUGGAGCGGCCGAUAUCGGAUUAGCUAGUUGGUGGGGAAACGGGUUACCAAGGCAACGAUCCGUAGCUGGUGUGAGAGGACGACCCGCCACACUGCGACUGAGCGACAGCCCAGACUAAUCGGGGAGGCAUCAUUGGGGAAUCUUGUACAAUCGGGUACACCCUGAUCGAGCCAACCCGCUUGUAUGAGAAGGCCUUCGGCUUAUAAUGUACUUUUGCCAGAGAAGCGGUAUCUGCAGAAUACACCCCGGCUAACUACGUGCCAGCUGCCGCGGUAAUAC
rnacentral:rRNA from 1 species